AUGUUUGAAUGUGGGAGGAGGGUAUAUAAAGGGACCCGAGGGCAUCACCCAGCACUCUUGGCUUCUUAUGCGUCAGUUAUCCUUCAGUUAUCCUUCAGUAAACGUUCACCUUGUUUACGCACUGGUCUCGCGUCUUCAUUCCCGAGCGGCUGGAGUGAGCUGACAGUUGCAUAUUGUUGGCUAGGAGUAGAAUAUUAUAUACAGAUCACAACUAUCAAAACUAUCAGAACACUUCAGUACAGGGCUUGGAAUGUUGCAGUUUAUAGCAAAAGAACGUACAUACCCAGCACAUUUUUUCAAUCCAUGUAGAAUUUGUUCAGGUGGAUUUGUUACCUUUUGAGAACAAGCUCCACAUAUGUACUAGGCCUGGAGAAUCACAAGGACUGAUUUUGCAUACUUAUAUCUGAAGAUCUGAAAACUAUAACACACCUGUUAUAAUGUAGGUCUGAGGCCAUGCAAACUUUGCCAAAUUAAAAAAAAUACCAUUCCCUGAAAUUUUGGAGCCAAAUGCUGAGAUCAUAAUAGGCCUGAUUAAAAAUUUCAGAAUCAUGUCUGUAUGUUACAGUCUAGCUGAUUUUCUUAUUUAUCUCCUAAAUAAGUUUUGGGCACAACACCUAGAUAGCUAGGGGAACCAACCCUAUAUUGGGUAAUGUUACUAAUAAUAAUAUGAAGAUACUAUUUUUUGUGUGCCCCUAAACUGUAAAUUAGGUAUAUAUUCAUUUUUACAUACUUUUUGUUACCUAAGAGUAGUUCAGUAUGGCUUAGAGACUACCUCAUUUAACUGGUAUUGAUUCAUUUCUUUUGUGUUAUUAAAAGGAGGUAAACACUCGGAAUUUAAAUCUACCUUUCAAAAGCAAAUUCAACUUUCUUUUCCCCCAGUACCAUCUGCUCUGAUGAUUGCUUUCUCAUUUUUCAUCAUACUUCAGCUGCCACCCUGUAUGGGUUUACUCUACAGUAAUUCUAGACCACACAGUUAUGGUUUUGGUAUUGGAAAUAUGAGAAGACAAUCAGAAUAUAAUAUUAGGACCACCAUCCCCAAUCCUCAGUCUUUUGCGCACAUUGUUCCAACUUCGGAAGCACUGGCAUGCCAUUCUGAGGCAGCAAGAGAAAACAAAUUGAGAGGAUGCUCUUAAUAAAUGUCUUCUGGCCUAGUUUUAUCCUUCAUGUUUUUUGUGUGCUUACAUGCAUGUGUUCAUGGAACAUGUCCUAGAUCUGGAAAAAAAAAGAUGUCAAAACCCUUUUUACCACUGGAAUUUUAAAAUGGUACUUGAAGAAAGCCAAGUAAUCCAGAAGACUUUGCUUAAGCCUUGUGCUGAGUGUUUAAUUUCCCACUUACAUACUAGUUGAAAGGCUGAAAUGUCAUGUGCAAAUGUAAAAGAUACAAAAGCAUUUUGCUCUGGGGACUACAUUCCCAAGUGCAGAAAAGGUAUCUCAAUGCUGCAGAAGCAGACUGUAUAUCUUGCGACUUUGGCAAUAACACCUGCUCUACAAUUUAUUCAGCAGAUUUCACAGUGGUUAAAUUAAGAAACCAUUUGUCUCUCCUCAAGGCUGGAGACAAGGCAUCCUAUCACAAAUGCCAUAAAUUGGAUACAAAGAGAAACAUUAAUAUCUUGCUAGUAAUGAAACGUUGACAUGGAGAUUCAGACAACAACUUAAGAACAAAUCGAGAAAGAGGGCUCAUCCUAAGGAAACUGGACCAUCCCUUGUCAACUUUGACCUGAUAAACUAUUGCAUUUGCUGAAUAAAUAGCCCCACUACUGAGAAACUAUAAUGAUGAUAUUCACCUGCCUAUAUUUCUCUGUAUGUGGGAUCCUAAUAAUAAAAAAAACCUUGCGAACAUUUUAAUUGAACUUUUUUUAUUAGAAGAAUCACUAUUACAUAUUUAAAAAACCCAAAUAAAGCAAUAGUGAAAGAACAAUGCAACCCAACGAGAAAUAUGUAAUUUAACGGAUGAAUCUGUAACAUCAGCAAGUCCAAAUUUAACUUUUAUUCAUCCAAGUUAUUCAGUACUUAAGACAGGCAGUUUCAUGUACCACUAGCUUUUUUUUUUUUUUUUUUUUGUGGUGGUGGCAGGGGAUUUUUGGCAUUUUUGCAAUGGAUCUGCUCCAGAAGUACUUUUCCUAUGUGUGAUGGGAGCCGGCGGGCUCCAUGGCAAAAGUACAAAAAACAAAACAAAAACAACAACAACAAAAAAAACAACAAACCAGUUGACAUUGCUGAUUUUUAGCCUGUGUAAAGAGAUCUUGUAACAGCUCUAUUCUCCUAUAAUGUCUCAUAUGUGAGGUCCUACAGAGCUUAAUAGAAAGAAGACUUGUAAACAUUUGAAUGGAACAUUUCCUUCAGUUAGAAGAACCACUGUAAUUUUAAGACACACACACACACACAUACACACACAAUAAAGCAAUAGCAAAAGAACAGUACAACCCACAAAUUCUCUCUGUCCAAAGAGAAAUAAAUAACUCCUUCUGGUAAAUCAAAGACAUCAGCCAGUCCAAAUGUGCCUCUUGCUCACCCAAGUUGUUCAGCAUUUCAGCUAUUCUUCUGAAGACUAUUUAAUCUCCAAUUUAAUAGCACAAUGAUAGUAAUGUGAUUUCUGCACAUGUUAGUGCAAUUAUGGUUGUGGGGAGAUCACUUUCCUAGCCUCCAUAGGGGAAAAGCCAGCAUUAAUUCUUCCUGAUACCAUGUGCCAGGACAGUGGGCAGGGCAGCUCCACUCCCUUCUUUUUGGAGAUCAUCAACCAAUGCCUUUGCCUCCUGGUAGAAAUGUUUUCCCCUUCACUAAGGUCCCCCUCCCUACAUUAUUGCAGAGGACCUAAAUUGGGACGAUUCUUAUCAGUCCUGGAUUCUCUUGCAAAAUAUUUGUUCCUACUUGAAAAAUGUCUUUCAACAUUUUUUUCAUCCCUAUAAUUCCACACCCAUGGAAGUUACCCUUUUGCCCCUUCGUUAUCAGUAACUACCUGUUUCUAUCACAUCUGUGAAAAAAGUCCAUAAUUUCUUUUGGAGUUUUUCUUUCAUAUAUGUAUGAAAUGUUUUGAAAUUGUAUAUGUUCCUUGAAUUCACUGUAUUCAUUGACUAGAACAAAACAUUCUAGGCGAUAUUUUGUUUGCAUUUUGAAUGUCCAGUGUACAUUUCUUUACAAUAUAUGAACCUGAGUCCUAAUAUCUGCAAAUGUAGUUACAAUGCCAGAGCUCUUCUCAUCAUAGCUUAGCUACUUCUGCAGAUGUUUU
ensembl:lncRNA